CUCAGGAAUUUAUUUGGAUGUGUCUCUGCAUGGAGGUUGGAGUCCCCAAACUUCCAAUUCCUCUCUUUUCUCUCCUUUGCAUCUCUUGCAUCUGCCUCCUCUCGUCUUCUCUAUCUUCCCUUUGUCUUAACUUUUAAAGGGCCAGACUCUCUGUACGUCAUCAGUUGAUAACCCAAUAGAAGCACUAGAGGUGUGGUUAUCUUCCAGAUCGCAAAUUAGUUAUUUGGUCUGUAGAGGGCAGUCUUGUCCCACUAAACAUACCUAUCCAG